rnacentral:rRNA from 1 species
CGGACGGGUGAGUAAUGUCUGGGAAACUGCCCGAUGGAGGGGGAUAACCACUGGAAACGGUAGCUAAUACCGCAUAACGUCGCAAGACCAAAGAGGGGGACCUUCGGGCCUCUUGCCAUCGGAUGUGCCCAGAUGGGAUUAGCUAGUAGGUGGGGUAACGGCUCACCUAGGCGACGAUCCCUAGCUGGUCUGAGAGGAUGACCAGCCACACUGGAACUGAGACACGGUCCAG